rnacentral:rRNA from 1 species
GACGAACGCUGGCGGCGUGCCUAAUACAUGCCAGUUGAGCGAUGAAGAUUGGUGCUUGCACCAAUUUGAAGAGCAGCGAAAGGGUGAGUAACGCGUGGGGAAUCUGCCUUUGAGCGGGGGACAACAUUUGGAAACGAAUGCUAAUACCGCAUAACAACUUUAAACAUAAGUUUUAAGUUUGAAAGAUGCAAUUGCAUCACUCAAAGAUGAUCCCGCGUUGUAUUAGCUAGUUGGUGAGGUAAAGGCUCACCAAGGCGAUGAUACAUAGCCGACCUGAGAGGGUGAUCGGCCACAUUGGGACUGAGACACGGCCCAAACUCCUACGGGAGGCAGCAGUAGGGAAUCUUCGGCAAUGGACGAAAGUCUGACCGAGCAACGCCGCGUGAGUGAAGAAGGUUUUCGGAUCGUAAAACUCUGUUGGUAGAGAAGAACGUUGGUGAGAGUGGAAAGCUCAUCAAGUGACGGUAACUACCCAGAAAGGGACGGCUAACUACGUG